UAGGGAAUCUUCGGCAAUGGACGGAAGUCUGACCGAGCAACGCCGCGUGAGUGAAGAAGGUUUUCGGAUCGUAAAGCUCUGUUGUAAGAGAAGAACGAGUGUGAGAGUGGAAAGUUCACACUGUGACGGUAUCUUACCAGAAAGGGACGGCUAACUACGUGCCAGCAGCCGCGGUAAUACGUAGGUCCCGAGCGUUGUCCGGAUUUAUUGGGCGUAAAGCGAGCGCAGGCGGUUAGAUAAGUCUGAAAUUAAAGGCUGUGGCUUAACCAUAGUAGGCUUUGGAAACUGUUUAACUUGAGUGCAAGAGGGGAGAGUGGAAUUCCAUGUGUAGCGGUGAAAUGCGUAGAUAUAUGGAGGAACACCGGUGGCGAAAGCGGCUCUCUGGCUUGUAACUGACGCUGAGGCUCGAAAGCGUGGGGAGCAAACAGGAUUAGAUACCCUGGUAGUCCACGCUGUAAACGAUGAGUGCUAGGUGUUAGACCCUUUCCGGGGUUUAGUGCCGUAGCUAACGCAUUAAGCACUCCGCCUGGGGAGUACGACCGCAAGGUUG
rnacentral:rRNA from 1 species